rnacentral:rRNA from 1 species
AUUGAACGCUGGCGGCAGGCCUAACACAUGCAAGUCGAGCGAGCGGCGGACGGGUGAGUAAUGUCUGGGAAACUGCCUGAUGGAGAGGGAUAACUACUGGAAAAGGUAGCGAAUACCGCGUACUAUCAGAAGUGCUCAGAUGGGAUUAGCUAGUUGGUGGGGUAACGGCUCACAGAGGCAACGAUCCCUAGCUGGUCUGAGAGGGUGACCAGCCACACUGGAACUGAGACACGGUCCAGACUCCUACGGGAGGCAGCAGUGGGGAAUAUUGCACAAUGGGCGAAAGCCUGACGCAGCAAUGCCGCGUGUGUGAAGAAGGCCUUCGGGUUGUAAAGCACUUUCAGCAGGGAGGCGUUACCCGCAGAAGAAGCACCGGCUAACUCCGUGCCAGCAGCCGCGGUAAUAC